CCAGCUCCGAUGAGGUAAUGGACAGUUUUCUCAACCUUAGCCAUGUCAACGCGACCAGAGAGGUACAAGUAAGUUCUGAGCAAAUCUCCGUGUCUGUUUUCUUCUGCCGUCCAGGCCCGGGUCCACACAGCCCACGGGCUUGGGCUGGUUCCGCACUCGUCUCUCACCCCGUCGAGGUUGUUGAUCAUAGUCUGGUAGGUGGGAAGCGCGUCUUCGGUGACCAUGUCACCCACCAACACCACGAAGUACUCGUCAGGUAGCUCCUUGGUGCGUUCGCGAAGGGCCUUCACCUCCUCACUGAACUCUUC
rnacentral:lncRNA from 1 species